UACGUAGGGUGCGAGCGUUAAUCGGAAUUACUGGGCGUAAAGCGUGCGCAGGCGGUUUUGUAAGUCUGUCGUGAAAUCCCCGGGCUUAACCUGGGAAUGGCGAUGGAGACUGCAAGGCUAGAGUUUGGCAGAGGGGGGUAGAAUUCCACGUGUAGCAGUGAAAUGCGUAGAGAUGUGGAGGAACACCGAUGGCGAAGGCAGCCCCCUGGGUCAAAACUGACGCUCAUGCACGAAAGCGUGGGGAGCAAACCGG
rnacentral:rRNA from 1 species